GGCCAUGUAGCCCAGCUGGUAGAGUGCUUGCCUCACAUGUACAAGGCCCUGGGUUCAAUCCCCAGCACUGCCA
rnacentral:tRNA from 1 species